GCCUGGCUGGCUCAGUCAGAGGAGCAUGCAACUGUUGAUCUCAAGAUCAUGAGUUCAAGCCCCAUGCUGGGUG
rnacentral:tRNA from 1 species